UACUCUGACUCCAUCUCCGCUAGUAGCUAGCUAACUUUGGUGUUUAAUUCUUUGCAUGGUACUAUAGUUUAAUACACAUAAUUGUGUUGUACAACAAUUAUUCAAUAAAAACUUUAUGGUGACAGCAUUUUUGCAACUCACUUGCAUAUAUCCUGCAAAGUUAGCCAGAGAAAAGAAAUGACUUUUCUAUAAUUAAUAAUAUAACAUUCUGACAUGCUUUUAAAUAUAAUAAAAUUAUUAAAUAUUAGCCCGUUGCAAUAAAGAGAGUAACCACCAAAUUAAUUUCUAGGGUCUGUUCAUCAGGAAGGAAAAUGAAACGCCGUAGUUUUCUUACUUAUUUUCUUAGCGUUUGAUACGUAAGCAAGAAAUAUUAUUUUUAAAAUAUUUGUGUAUAAUCUAAACAAAUAUUCUGAGAAUUGAUCGGGCGGCAAUUAGGGGUGUAGGUGGUAGGGAUGGGGCUAUGGGGGUAAAUGUGAAGAGACAAUCAACAUAAAAUGUGACUUAUGGAACUUGUUUUCUCUAUUUUCAUCAGAAAAGUUAUUUUCCUUAACUUGUUUUCCUAAAGAAUUCAUUUUCCAAAAAUUUCGACCAACCAAUAUAAAAAAAUUGAAAAAAUAUUUUUUUUCUCAUACCAAACAACCCUUAUUAAUCCUCUUCAAUUCCCUUUAUAUGAGGGGGAAACAAUAGUAUCAUAGAUAUCAUAAAAUUUGACUUUUUAUAUACAAUGUGAUUAUCCGAUAAUUUCUUUUUAGAUUAAUGUAACUCCGACCCCUCUAGCUCCACCCCUAUAAUUAUGCAAUAUAAUUAGAAAAGCAAAAUGAACUAAAAAAAAGUAUGUUACAUAGUUAAUAUUUUUUCUCAAUUCAACUCAAUACAAUACAAACUUUAAUUUGGGCAUAGUAAAUCUUUAUGAUAUGCAUUAAUUUAGUUGAUAACCUAGUAAAAAUGAUAAUUGAUCUACUAUACAUUAUAAGUUAAAAUUUGCUCAUAGUAUAAAUAAAUCUUUACACUACCAACUAGUAAUAAUUUCACCCCAAAAAUUAAUUGUUGUUACUAUACCUUCCUCAAACAUUUAUGAAAGUUUGAGUGUUUUAACAAAAAAAAAAACCUAUUUGUAUAUAAAUAAUAAUGUAAUCAAAGUAGUACUCUCAUAUCUUUUUAAAUUUCACAGAGCAACCAUCCCUUAUUGUCUGGCCUAUUUAAAUAGCCAUAGUGUACCCUAGCUAGCUACCCCACUAUUUACCUAUAUAUACAUACAUUAUGGGCUACACAUUUCAAACCUAAGUUGCUCAGACUCUUUCAAAAUAUAUUACUUUUGAAGGAUUUGAAACGUAUUUCGUAACAUUUUUAAAGAGUCUGAAUAACAUAAAUGCAAAUAUAUAUACAUGUAUAGUAAUUUAAACUACUUCUCCUAUAAUUUGUUAUGAAUUGCUUAACUAUCACUGGUAUGUUGAUAGCAACCCCUUUUACCCCCACCCUACAUACACACACACUCAAAAAAAAAACAUGUAUACGAUUUCUUUUUACUAUAAGAUUGAAACAAUGCUUAAUUAGUUAAGAUGAUUAAUUAGUAGAUAUUAGAAUCUAAAUUAUCAUUAAGCACUAUGGAAUAAUCAGUUUACACCUAGUAAUAUAUAUAUAUAUAUAUAUACUAGUUGAAUAACUCUGGAUUUCUUCCUUUUUUUUUAUCUCUUUAGUGAAAAUUUUAACUUGAUUAUUCUCAUGAAUUGGUCAAUUAUAAACAAAUGACAAAUUUUAAGUACAUUAGGUUAAUACUCACAUUUUUAUAGAAUAUUAUCACCAAACAGAAAGAAAAAAAGAAGCAGCAGCAGCAACAACACCAUUAAUUAUGACUUUUUUUUUUAGAUAAAUUUAUUUAUAUCUUUAAUCAGUAGUAUUAUCAAAAUCUAAGAGUCUUACUGCCUAACAUAUAUUCUGAAUUUUGAUGACAAAGGGAGUCCACAAUCGAUAUUUUUUGAGCGCACACAUGAUAAAUCUGUUUUAAUAUAAUGGCUCACAAAUCACACUAGAGACGUAAAUUAUAUCAUGCAAAUUUCGUGCGAUAAAUUUAAUUGAGAAAAUAUGCAAGAGAUUUCAAAUCUCACAAUUUAGAAAGGUGUCCUGCUCAAUCAAUUCGACCACCUUACGUAUGUUUAUUAUAUAUACUAGUUUUUUGACACGUGCGUUGCACGUGAUUACGAAUUUCAAAAAUAUAUGUUAUAGUAAAUAGUAGUGCUUAUUUAAGCGAAGAUUUGAAUAAUAAGCUUAGCAAAAAAUAAUAUUGCAGAUUCUUUUAUGAAUGUUCAAUGUGGAUCGUCAUAUAUAUAUCUUAUUCAUGCAAAGCUAUGAAGAUGGUCAAUGAAAAUUUUUAUUAGUUAAAUGUAAUUAUGUAUAUAUUUAUUUUAAUUUGAUGAAGUUUAUCUAAUUAGUCUUAUCUCACUAAUAUUACCUUAUAGACAAUAUUUGUUUUGUAUUUUUCUUGUCAUCUAACCAGAUGUGCUUUGCAUGUGUAUUCUACGUUAAAUUGUGUAGAUGUCAUAUGAACAUGUGAAGAGAACAACUACAUUUUAUAUAUUCACAUAUUUUCAAAUUUGUUGUGAGUUUUUUUUUGUUUAAAAAAAGAACUCGAAACAUUUUAAAAUAAUAUAUUUUGAAGUUAGAAGAUUUCGUUAACUUGAUAAUACAUUUGUGACAUAUAUAAAUAAAUAAUAAAAAUUAAACUAAUACAAACUUCACUCUUUGGAAAAAAUCACAACUCAUCGAAAAAUCACAACCCUUUGAAAAAAGUCAUAACUUAUCGGAAAAGUCACAACUCAUCGAAAAAGUCACAACCUAAGUUAGAGAUAUUAUAGUAAUUUAACAUUCAAGUCAGGAGUUCAUGCUUUUAAAGUAAUAUAUAUAUCCUUUUUCAUAAAUGUCAAUUUAUAUAACUUAAAAUCUUUGUGUUAAAACUGAAUUGAGAAUUGAGAAUUUUUGUCUUUUUAGGUGUUUUUUAUAUCUUUAAAUGGUAAGUGAGAAGGACAAGGGGUGUGGUUAAAAGGAUUAUUAAUUUUUUUGUCUCAUAUAUAGUAACAAAAUUUUAACCUUUUAUUACCCAAAAAUAAAUAAAAUUUAAUUUUUUUCCCCACUGAAAUGUAUGAGAGAGAGCAAAAACAAAAGGGCAAACAAGAUGAAUUUAUAUCAAUAAUUGAUGAAAGCCAGGGAAUCUUCUCUGCCAUUUUUUUCACUAUGUUUUCAUCACUUUGAUUUUUAAAAAAGUCAAGCAAAUCAGGAAAAAUAUAUAUUUUUAAAAUGGAAAAAAAUUAUAAAUGAAAGAAAAUGUAAUUUCCAUUAAAUAAGUGUACAAAAUGAGAAAAAUCCAAAAGUUUCUCCUUUCCCUUUUCAAGAAACAAUAAACCAAAAAAAGGGGAAAAAUUAAAGCCUUCCAUGGUUUAAAAAAUGUGGAUAUGAUUUUUAGUGGCAAAGACAGAAUUUUUCACCAAACAAUUUGAAUUUAUUCUUUAUAUAUAUAAUGUAAUUUUUCCAGGAUAUUUAUCACAGCUAAUUUUGGGAAAUUAAUUUCAAAACUCCUAAUUUAAGUGAUAGAAGUAGAAUUUUCACCGAUAGAGCUCAUCAUUUACUCUCCAUGUAUAAUUUUAAACUGACACAUAUUAUUUAAUGUAAUUUUCAGACGAAAGGGCAUCUGCUCCGGCUGAUUUUUCAAAACUAAUUUCAGAAGUCUUAAAAACCAUAAUUCUAUAUAAAGGUGUAUAAUAGGUAAUUAAUUCAGAGAAUUCACACUAUUAAGUAUGCCAAGUAAUUGAAUUAUCUAACUCAUGACCAAUUUAAAAGUGAAUUUAAUUAAAUAAAUAAAAACUAUAUAUUUAAAAAAAAAUCAAGAAUUUACCAUGAAAAUUUGGCUUGAUAAUCUUCAAGUGUACUCCAUAGGAAGGAAAAUGUAAAAAAUAAGUCCAAAGCUUGCCAUCUUUUCCCACAGCUUUCUUGGACUUUCAUAGCUUCAAAAAUUUCAUCUCAAAAUUAUCAAUUUAGAGAUCAAAAUUUAGCAAGAAGAAGUUCAAGAAAGCUGUGGAAAAGCAUGACUAGGACUUAGUCAUCGUCAUCGAUCAACAACCAGCGUAAAACUUGUCAAUUCUUAAAGUUUUAAUAUAAGGAAAAAUUGAACAAGUUUUUUUAAAAAAAGAUAAGAAUUUGAGAAAAAUAGUUGAUUUGUGAGAAGAGAGAAGAGUUAAAGACAUAGGCCAUAUAGAUAUAGAGAAUGAAACAAAUUAAUGUGUUGGAUGGACC
rnacentral:lncRNA from 1 species